rnacentral:rRNA from 1 species
AUUGAACGCUGGCGGCAUGCUUUACACAUGCAAGUCGAACGGCAGCGCGGGCUUCGGCCUGGCGGCGAGUGGCGAACGGGUGAGUAGUGCAUCGGAACGUGCCCAGUAGUGGGGGAUAGCCCGGCGAAAGCCGGAUUAAUACCGCAUACGACCUGAGGGUGAAAGCGGGGGACCGAAAGGCCUCGCGCUAUUGGAGCGGCCGAUGUCGGAUUAGCUAGUUGGUGGGGUAAAGGCUUACCAAGGCGACGAUCCGUAGCUGGUCUGAGAGGACGACCAGCCACACUGGGACUGAGACACGGCCCAGACUCCUACGGGAGGCAGCAGUGGGGAAUGUUGGACAAUGGGGGCAACCCUGAUCCAGCCAUGCCGCGUGCGGGAAGAAGGCCUUCGGGUUGUAAACCGCUUUUGUUCGGGAAGAAAUCCUCUGGGCUAAUACCCCGGGGGGAUGACGGUACCGGAAGAAUAAGCACCGGCUAACUACGUG